rnacentral:lncRNA from 1 species
UUUGCAACAAAACCACACAUUGAAGAUUGAUAAAAUCUUGUACUUAGAAAUAUAAUGUAUAAUAAUAUAUAAUUUUUUGAUAUAUGUUAUCAUAAGUAUAUUCUAGACAUUAUAUACUAGAUUGAUAAAAGUUCUGCUAAUUGUGCAAUAAAUACUAAUACUUUCUUUCAAUUGUUGUAAUGUAGAAUUUUGAUAAUUAUAUCUAUAUCUUAAAAAUCUUUUUUGAUAAUAAAA